CUGCUGGAAAACCACAUUACCCAGUCCCAGCCUCGCAUUUAGAUUUCCUGUAGGCUGUUCAACAUUCUCUCUACAGCAACCCACGGCGCUGUUGUUCUUGGUUGAAGGAACAAGCAAAUAAUAAUUAUGUUGGGUCAGGUUGUACGACGAUUCACAACCUCUGCGGUUCGCUCAUCGCAUUACGGCGAGGGACCAGGACAGAACCUGCCAUUCUCAGUGGACAACAAGUGGCGUCUGCUGGCAAUGAUGGUGGUGUUCUUCGGCAGUGGCUUUGCCUUCCCCUUCAUAGUCGUCAGACACCAGCUCCUGAAGAAGUGAAGUGGCGAUGCAUGCCACGUAACCUCCAAGGUCUGCGCCCAGAACAUAUUUAUCCAGCAGAACUCCAUUCGCUUCGAAGAAUGGAAAUCCCUAAUUGUGUUUGUAAAUAAAGUUCACUCAAAUGUAUAUUGUUCAAAUACGUUUUUGUCCUUCAGUUUGGGUUUCCACUAGAUUCUGUAGCCACGAAGUAAAAAUUGGCUAUUGUAAAAAUUCAUGAAAACAAAUCUGCUUUUUGGUCUUAAUUUAAGGUUAGGCAUAAGGUUAGCAGUGUGUUUGUUUAAAAUCAGAUUUUAAGAAGAUACAUUGUGGAAAUAGGCAGGGUUUAGCCAUGAUUAUGACUUUGUGGCUAUAGAAGUUAGUGACAACCUUGAGUUUGUGGUCCAGACUGUGAUGUCAUGCUUCAGCAUACGCAUCUCCAGAAGUGUCACUCAUGGAGUAAUGAUUUUUAUGGGACUUUUCAGAAUAAUGUAGGUACAAAAUGGGGAGAAGGCAUGUCUGAGACUUUUCUGUUUUGUGCCUACUGUACAAAAAGUUGUCAACUAGGUUUGUUUCCAAGUGGUAUUUUCUGUGUGUAUUUGACUUCAUAAUAUACAAUACCGUUCAAAAGUUUGGGGUCACUUAGAAAUGUCCUUGUUUCUGAAAGAAUAGCACGUUUUUUUUUGUCCAUUAAAAUAACAGAAAAUUGAUCCGAAAUACAGUAUAGACAUUUACAACAUUAACAAUGACUAUUGUAGCUGGAAACGGCUGAUUUUUAAUGGAAUAUCUACAUAGGCGUACAGAGGCCAAUUAUCAGCAACCAUCACUCCUGUGUUCCAAUCGCACGUUGUUAGCUAAUCCAAGUUUAUACAUUUAAAAGGCUAAUUGAUCAUUACAAAACCCUUUUGCAAUUAUGUUGGCCCAGCUGAUAAACUGUUGUUCUGAUUUAAAAAAGCAAAACUGGCCUUUGAGAUAAAAACGGCUGCAUUGGACCUUUUAGGUAAUUAACAUCCCAUCAUGCUUAGGGUCAUGUAUGAAAAUGCUGGGCAGGCCAUUAUUUUGGCUGCCGUGGCUAUGGCCCCAUAGGAUGACAAUACCCCCAUACACAGGGCACGAGUGGUCACUGACUGGUUUGAUGAGCAUGAAAAUAAUGUAAACCAUAUGCCAUGGCCGUCUCAUUUACCAGAUCUCAACCCAAUUGACUACGUAUUGGGAGAUUCUGGAGCAGUGCCUGAGACUGUUUCCCACCAACAAAACACCAAAUGAUGUAAUUUCUUGUGAUAGAGCUUAAUUUCUAAGUAGCGCUAGCUAGUUAGCAUUGGCUUGGGAAACUACCUCUAACAUAAAAUUGGUAUCCAUGAGUUCAUCUGACUGGGGAAGUAGAUGGCUUCAUUGCCAAAAUCCCGAAAUAUUCCUUUAAGACACUUGUUGGUAUUUCCUUUAUUUUGGCAGUUAUCUGUAUUUCCAUGCAGUUGGAGGAGGCUCUAUCUCUCCUGUCUGCCAUAGAGACUAGCUGAAUGCAGAGUUUAUGUCAAAUUAAUGCUUUUUCAACUGAAGAAUGCAGUUGGCCUUUGAGAUGUUAGGUCCAUAGAAUUAUGUCUUGAGGUGUGAACAAAAUUGCUUCAAUUAUAGCAUGCUGCUAGCACACUUUCAGAAUAUUGAAUUACACAAAAGAUGAUUGACUCAGUCUGGAGAAAAAUCUCAAUGUUCACUAAAUUAGAUAAGACUGAUUUAGAUUUUGGGGCUGUCGCAAAAUAAAUUCAGUAGAAGGUAUGGAAAGCCUAGAGGGUUGUUAUAAAAUGGAACUAUUUGUGCUACUGCCAAAAGCCUUAAAUGUAUUUAGUGUUGAAAUUGAAUGUCAAUUUGAAUGCAGGGCAUGAAUCGAAACAUCCAGUUCCCUCUGCUAUAGCUUUAUGGCUGGAAUAGUUUUUGUCUUUCUCACUUGCUCUCUCUGUGUGUGUUCCAUCUUCAUCUGAAAUUCAUUGAAUAACCUAUUUCAGUUCAAUAACCUUCCACCACUGGUAGAAAUAUCCAAGAACAGAAAAGAGAGGAACUGGUAAAGUGUCAUGGGUAAUAUUCCAAAAGUAAGUCAUUUUAAUUUGCCUGUGCUCUAGACUCAUUUUGGGGGUGUGGUGCAGAGUAGAUUUUCAGGCUAAGGAUGAUCUUUUUGGAGUUGUGUGUGUGUCAGCAGCGAGACCGUCACAAAGGGACAUUGGUCAUAAGAAUGAGAAACGACCAGGGCCCUGUUUCCCAAAAGCAUCUUAAGGCUAAGUUCAUUGUAAGAGCAUUGUUAAAUCUCCAAGCUUUUUAACGAAAACAAUCGUUGCUAAAGUUAAACUUGAAAACACUUGUUCUUUACAAGUGUGUGUCGUUGAAUAUUAUUAUUUUUAUUCCAAUUGAGUUCUAUUUUGCUAAUUGUAGGCUACUGUCUUUCACCCUGGAGCUAAAAUAAGCCGUCUCAUUAUUUGCAGCCAUACAGUAUACAGUGAGGGGAAAAAGUAUUUGAUCCCCUGCUGAUUUUGUAUGUUUGCCCACUGACAAAGAAAUGAUCAGUCUAUAAUUUUAAUGGUAGGUUUAUUUGAACAGUGAGAGACAGAAUAACAACAAAAAGAUCCAGAAAAACGCAUGUCAAAAAUGUUAUAAAUUGAUUUGCAUUUUAAUGAGGGAAAUAAGUAUUUGACCCCUCUGCAAAACAUGACUUAGUACUUGGUGGCAAAACCCUUGUUGGCAAUCACAGAGGUCAAGACGUUUCUUGUAGUUGGCCACCAGGUUUGCACACAUCUCAGGAGGGAUUUUGUCCCACUCCUCUUUGCAGAUCUUCUCCAAGUCAUUAAGGUUUCAAGGCUGACGUUUGGCAACUCGAACCUUCAGCUCCCUCCACAGAUUUUCUAUGGGAUUAAGGUCUGGAGACUGGCUAGGCCACUCCAGGACCUUAAUGUGCUUCUUCUUGAGCCACUCCUUUGUUGCCUUGGCCGUGUGUUUUGGGUCAUUGUCAUGCUGGAGUACCCAUCCACGAUCCAUUUUCAAUGCCCUGGCUGAGGGAAGGACGUUCUCACCCAAGAUUUGACGGCACAUGGCCCCGUCCAUCGUCCCUUUGAUGCGGUGAAGUUGUCCUGUCCCCUUAGUAGAAAAACACCCCCAAAGCAUAAUGUUUCCACCUCCAUGUUUGACGGUGGGGAUGGUAUUCUUGGGGUCAUAGGCAGCAUUCCUCCUCCAAACACGGCGAGUUGAGUUGGUGCCAAAGAGCUCCAUUUUGGUCUCAUCUGACCACAACACUUUCACCCAGUUUUCCUCUGAAUCAUUCAGAUGUUCAUUGGCAAACUUCAGACGGGCAUGUAUAUGUGCUUUCUUGAGCAGGGGGACCUUACGGGCGCUGCAUGAUUUCAGUCCUUUACGGCGUAGUGUGUUACCAAUUGUUUUCUUGGUGACUAUGGUCCCAGCUGCCUUGAGAUCAUACACAAGAUCCUCCUGUGUAGUUUUGGGCUGAUUCCUCACCGUUCUCAUGAUCAUUGCAACUUCACGAGGUGAGAUCUUUCAUGGAGCCCCAGGUCGAGGGAGAUUGACAGUUCUUUUGUGUUUCUUCCAUUUGCGAAAAAUCGCACCAACUGUUGUCACCUUCUCACCAAGCUGCUUGGCGAUGGUCUUGUAGACCAUUCCAGCCUUGUGUAGGUCUACAAUCUUGUUCCUGACAUCCUUGGAGCGCUCUUUGGUCUUGGCCAUGGUGGAGAGUUUGGAAUCUGAUUGAUUGAUUUCUUCUGUGGACAGGUGUCUUUUAUACAGGUUACAAACUGAGAUUAGGUGCACUCCCUUUGAGUGUGCUCCUAAUCUCAGCUCGUUAUCUGUAUAAAAGACUCCUGGGAGCCAGAAAUCUUUCUGAUUGAGAGGGGGUCAAAUACUUAUUUCCCUCAUUAAAAUACAAAUCAAUUUAUAACAUUUUUGACAUGCGUUUUUCUGGAUUUUUGUUGUUGUUAUUCUGUCUCUCACUGUUCAAAUAAACCUACCAUUAAAAUUAUAGACUGGUCCUUUCUUUGUCAGUGGGCAAACGUACAAAAUCUGCAGGGGAUCAAAUACUUUUUUCCCUCACUGUAGCAGUGAAGGUUCCACAGAGGAGGAAGGGGAGGAUAAUCCCCCUUGGUGAAUUUAAAAAAGGGUGAUUCUGUGUCAUCGGGGUACAUUUUUAGAAUUUUAUAAAAAAAUAUGUUUAUAUGUUAAGUUCGCCCCAGUUUUUUUUUAAUCACCUCUCUAUCAAGUAUUUUAGCUACUUUUCAGAUGCAUUUUAUACCUCAAUUUUCACUGUUCAAUUAUAGGCAGAGUUACUCUGUGCAGUGUAUGUGUUCUUUUGCCCAUCUUAAUCUUUUCUUUUCAUUGGCCCGUCUGAGAUAUGGCUUUUUCUUUGAAACUCUGCCUUGAAGACCAGCAUCCCGGAGUCGCCUCUUGACGUUGAGACUGGUGUUUUGCGGGUACUAAUUCAUGAAGCUGCCAGUUGAGGACUUGUGAGGCAUCUGUUUCUCAAAUUAGACACUAAUGUACUUGUCCUCUUGCUCCGUUGUGCACCGGAGCCUUACACUCCUCUUCCUAUUCUGGUUAGAGACAGUUUGAGCUGUUCUGUGAAGGGAGUAGUACACAGCGUUGUACAAGAUCUUCAGUUUCUUUGCAGUUUAUCGCAUGAAAUGGCCUUCAUUUCUCAGAACAAGAAUAGACUGACGAGUUUCAGAAAAAAGUACUUUGUUUCUGGCCAUUUUGAGCCUGUAAUCGAACCCACAAAUGCUGAUGCUCCAAAUACUCAACUAGUCUAAAUAAGGCCAGUUUUAUUGCUUCUUUAAUCAGAACAUACGUUUUCAGCUGUUAAAAACAAUUGCAAAUGGGUUUUCUAAUGAUCAGUUAGCCUUUUAAAAUGCUAAACUUGGAUUAGCUAACACAACUGGCCAUUGGAACACAGGAGUGAUGGUUGCUGAUAAUGGGCCUCUGUACGCCUACAGUAUAUAGAUAUUCCAUAAAAAAAGAAUCAGUUUCCUGCUACAAUAGUCAUUUACAACAUUAACAAUGUCUACACAGUAUUUCUGAUCAAUUUGGUGUUAUUUUAAUGGACAUAAAAUGUACUUUCUUUCAAAAACAAGGUCAUUUCUAAGUGACCCCAAACGGUAGUGUAUAUAUUUUACGGAUUUAGUGUAAACUAUAUGCUAGCUGUAAUACUAGCCAAAGCAUGUAUGAAAAGGCUAAGCAGUCUGUUAUUUUUCUCAAACUGUACAAGCGUCAUUUCCAUCACAAACUUAACUGUGGUGGAAAUGACAGAAUGUGGUGGAAAGGACAAAAAUCCAUUGUUAUUAGUUUUAAUUUGUGUUUUUUACUUUAGGGUUAUUUAAUCAUGUUUUAGAUUAAUUUAAUCUAGGAAAUGCUGCAAGGUGUGCAUGAUUUGAAAACUUAAAUUGUAUUUUUCUUAAUUUUUAGAAGAUGCCACAUAAAACAGCACAGAGGUCACAGACAUAGAAACAAAAUAAAAAAGACGUCCUAUAUGAUACCAGGAACAUCUGCAAAAGACAGGGAGAGAUACUGUAAGAAAAAAGAGAAGCGAGAAGUGAAAUCCAUUUCUGAGUUUACAAAGCGAGAACAAAGAAGCUAGAGAAGGCAAUGGAAAGACAACUGACGUAUUAGAAUACAGACUUUAAAGAGAACAGGUGAAAUGGACACCUGUCUAUCAGGCAACACACCACGUCAGUCACCAGAUGACUAGAAGCCAGAACAUGAUGCCAACAUACCUGCCCCAAACUUACCUGUCCCUUAUGCACGCUCUGAUACCCCUUCCUCAUAGUCUGCAACAGGAUUGAGAAGUCAAAAGCUUGCUGGAAGGUUGGAAGAGGUCUUUGAGUUUUACGGAAACCUGAGAAAUACGGGGAAAAAGUAUGAUCAACUGAUGAAGAAAAUGGAGAGACAACAUUCCCCAAAGACAACGUGAGCAAGACAAAGGAGAUGAUGGAAUAAAGGAAAAGGAGGGCCGAACAUGCCCUCAUUCACAUCGACGGGGCUGUAGUUGAGCGGGUUGAGAGUUUCAAGUUCCUUGGUGUCCACAUCACCAACAAACUAUCAUGUUCCAAACACACCAGGAAAGUCGUGAAGAGGGCACAACAAUGCCUUUUCGCCCUCAGGAGACUGAACAAUUUUGUGCGGGUAGCCAGAUCCUCAAAAAGUUCAACAACUGCACCAUAGAGGACAUCCUAACUGGUUGCAUCACCGCCUGGUAUGGCAACUGCUCUGUUUCCGACUGUAAGGCGCUACAAAGGGUAGUACGUACGUCCCAGUACAUCACUGGGACCAAGCUUCCUGCCAUCCAGGACCUACAGUUGAAGUCGGAAGUUUACAUACACCUUAGCCAACUACAUUUAAACUCAGUUUUUCACAAUUCCUGACAUUUAAUCCUAGUACAAAUUUCCAGUCAGUUAAGAUCACCACUUUAUUUUAAGAAUGUGAAAUAUCAGAAUAAUAGUAGAGAGAAUUAUUUAUUUCAGCUUUCAUUUCUUUCAUCACAUUCCCAGUUGGUCAGACAUUUGCGUACACUCAUUUAGUAUUUGGUAGCAUUGCCUUUAAAUUGUUUAACUUGGGUCAAACAUUUCGGGUAGCCUUCCAGAAGCUUCCCACAAUAAGUUGGGUGAAUUUUGGCCCAUUCCUCCUGACAGAGCUGGUGUAACUGAGUCAGGUUGGUAGGCGUCCUUGCUCGCACACGCUUUUUCAGUUCUGCCCACAAAUUUUCUAUGGGAUUGAGGUCAGGGCUUUGUGAUGGCCACUCCAAUACCUUGACUUUGUUGUCCAUAAGCCAUUGUUCCACAAGUUUGGAAGUAUGCUUGAGGUCAUUAUCCAUUUGGAAGACCCAUUUGUGACCAAGCUUUCACUUCCUGACUGAUGUCUUGAGAUGUUGCUUCAAUAUAUCCACAUAAUUUUCCAUUCCUCAUGACGCCAUCUAUUUGGUGAAGUGCACCAGUCCCUCCUGCAGCAAAGCACCCCCACAACAUGAUGCUGCCACCCCCGUGCUUCACAGUUGGGAUGGUGUUCUUCGGCUUGCAAGCCUCCCCCUUUUUCUUACAAACAUAACGAUGGUCAUUAUGGCCAAACAGUUCUAUUUUUGUUACAUCAGACCAGAGGACAUUUCUCCAAAAAGUAUGAUCUUUGUGCCCAUUGUCAGUUGCAAACCGUAGUCUGGCUUUUUUAUGGAGGUUUUGGAGCAGUGGCUUCUUCCUUGUUGAGCGGCCUUUCAGGUUAUGUCGAUAUAGGACUCGUUUUACUGCGGAUAUAGAUCAUUUUCUACCAGUUUCCUCCAGCAUCUCCACAAGGUCCUUUGCUGUUGUUCUGGGAUUGAUUUUCACUUUUCGCACCAAUGUACGUUCAUCUCUAGGAGACAGAACGCGUCUCCUUCCUGAGUGGUAUGACGGCUGCGAGGUCCCAUGGUAUUUAUACUUGCGUACUAUUGUUUGUACAGAUGAACGUUGUACCUUCAGGCGUUUGGAAAUUGCUCCCAUGGAUGAACCAGACUUGUGGAGGUCUACACUUUUUUCUGAGGUCUUGGCUGAUUAUUUUGAUUUUCCCAUGAUGUCAAGCAAAGGUAGGCCUUGAAAUACAUCCACAAGUACACCUCCAAUUGACUCAAAUGAUGUCAAUUAGCCUAUCAGAAGCUUCUAAAGCCAUGACAUAAUUUCUGGAAUUGUCCAAGCUGUUUAAAGUCACAUUCAACUUAGUGUAUGUAAACUUGAAUUAUAAGUGAAAUAAUUUGUCUGUAAACAAUUGUUGGAAAAAUUACUUGUGUCAUGCACAAAGUAGAUGUCCUAACCGACUUGCCAAAACCAUAGUUUGUUAACAAGAAAUUUGUGGAGUGGUUGAAAAAUGACUUUUAAUAAUUCCAACAUAAUUGUAUGUAGACUUCCGACUUCAACUGUAUAUACUAGUCGGUGUCAGAGGAAGGCCCCAAAAAUGGUCAAAGACUCUAGUCACCCAAGUCAUAGACUGUUCUCUCUGCUACCGCAUGGCAAGCGGUACCAGAGCGCCAAGUCUAGGUCCAAAAGACUUAACUUCUACCCCCAAGCCAUAUGACUGCUGAACAAUUAUUAAAAUGGCCAGUGGGACUAUUAACAUUGAUCUCCCCCCCCCCCCCUUUGGUCAACACUGCUCUACUCGCUGUUUAUUAUCACUUUACCCCUACCUACAUGUACAAAUUACCUCAACUAACCUGUACCCUGCACAUUGACUCAGUACCGCUACCCACUGUAUAUAGCCUCGUUAUUGUUAUUUUUUGUUAAUUUUUAUUUUUAACUUUUGUUUAUUUUGUAAAUAUUUUCUUAACUCUAUUUCUUGAACUGCAUUGUUGGUUUAGGGCUUGUAAGCAUUUCAUGGUAAGGUGAAUACCUGUUGUAAUUGUCACAGAAGAGAAAAUCACUAGAUUCUAUGACUGUGAUGACAACAGUAGAGCAACAACAGGGAAAAAGGACACACUAACGAGCAAUAAGAAAAUAAAGCAGAAGCGCUUCUUGAAUGGCACAAUUCAGAACCUUUAUCAGAAAUUUAAGAAGGAAUUUUCAGAGAUUAAAAUGUCCUACUAUGAAUUCUGCAAAAGACGUCAUUUUUGGGUUGUCAAGCCAACAGUCCAGGAUAGGGACACAUGCCUCUGCAAAACCCACGCCAACCUCCAGUUCAUGGCGGACAAACUACAGUACGACAAAGUGAUCUGCUGCAGCAACAUUGAGACCUUAUUGAGUGUUUGUGCUGUGAGAACCAGAAGAAAGAGUGUGUCAUGACGCUAGCCCUUUCAGUGAAUUGGCUAGCAGAGAUGUGAACAACCCCCCCCCCUGUUAGGAUGGGGGGUGGGGGGGACAGUUUUAUGACUACAACCACGUCGUAAAUUCCUUGCAGAGACUUGUCUCCCUGACCAUGCAGUAUGGGAGAGAGAGGGUCACAGUAGAACAAAGGAACUCUCCCAACAAAUUGUACUACACCCCAGAAUUUGAGAAUUGAACAAUAUUCCAAUUUUGGAGAAUGUGUAAACGGUCGGUGGAGAAGCCAGCUACGACCCGGUCCAUUUAGUUUCAUGUUUGUGACCUCAUGAAAGACAAUACAGCCACAUUACCCUACCUCUGUUUAUACAAGGUCCUCAAUUAUGAGGCUUGCAUCUAAAGGUUGGAUAAAAAAUUUGACUAAGUAUAAUAAUACUUUUGAAAAGAUUACAAUGUGAUUUAAGUCUUCUAAAGUGAAAAGUGUUUGUUUUAAUGGUAACUCGUGUCCAGCCAGUGGACACGCCCAAGUGAAAAGACAUUGGUUGGAAAUGAUGAACCAACCCCUUUUCCACAUUUCUAUAAAAGCCUCAUGACUCAAAGUCACCUUAGUUCCAAAUACCGUGAGGACAUUUAAAAGGGCUAAUUCUAAUUUCAACUCUAUAGGCCAGGAAACGUGAGAGCUUGCUCCACACGUGAAAUGGUAUAAACGCUGAACUAUUGAUCACCUAAAGAAGAAGUGCAUACUAAACUAGCAUAUAUCAGACUGCAGCUGAACAUAUGUGCAAAUCUAGUACGAGAACACUGACCAACGAGGAAGCAUCUGCAGAAUGAGAUGAAUCUCUCAGACCACGUGAACCUCUCACACGACGACCCGGAAGAUUCCACAAAGGACGAGGGCGACAUCGACUGGGCAAACCAGAGCGUCACAUCACCACCUCAACUAUCGAAGCCAGCUUCAUGUAAAUACAAUGCAUUGCUUUUCUGAAUGAGCGGCCGUUUAGUGGCAUAUAUAUAUAUUUGAGAAUAUCUUCCCAGGUCCUUAGUCCUCCUUCCAAAACCCCCUUCUCUUCUCUCUGAAUCUAUCGUGUUAUAACCAAACUGUUUCUGUUUAGUCCACUAGGGACAGUAUUUACUGUAUAAUGUUAUUAUGUAUUGUACAUUCUGUAAUUGUUUAAUUAGUUAGUAAUAAAUAAUUGAGCCAA
rnacentral:lncRNA from 1 species